CACGUAGGGUGCGAGCGUUGUCCGGAAUUAUUGGGCGUAAAGAGCUCGUAGGCGGUGUGUCGCGUCGGCCGUGAAAACCUGCAGCUUAACUGUGGGCUUGCGGUCGAUACGGGCAUGACUGGAGUUCGGCAGGGGAGACUGGAAUUCCUGGUGUAGCGGUGAAAUGCGCAGAUAUCAGGAGGAACACCGGUGGCGAAGGCGGUUCUCUGGGCCUUACCUGACGCUGAGGAGCGGAAAGCAUGGGGAGCAAACAGG
rnacentral:rRNA from 1 species